rnacentral:lncRNA from 1 species
GUCCUGGAUGAUGAUCAUGGAGCUGUGGUUUACCCUGUCAGGAGGUCAGUAGCUCCUCUUGCAGUUCAGCGUUGGGGCGACAUCCCUGGGCAGCAUAACUGCGGCGCACCUGGUUGCCAUGAGAUGAUUCCGGCGCAAGCACAGUUCUGUUGUUUGCGUUGCAAGGCUGCACUCUAUUCGGAGUCUCGAAGCCACCAAAAAGGAUUGGUGGUGGGAGAUUUGGCAUCCUCAGCCAUCAGAUCUCCAGAAGAUGCUGAUUCAGGAGCGAAGCAAACCAUAGGAACAGUUUCAGGGGGAACAUGUCGUCCCCAAGAAAGAAUGAUACUGACACAUCAUUUUGUUCUCCGUAGCAUCCGAUUUUGA